UUUAGGGUAAUAUGAAUCAGAGAUUGGCCUAACAAGUUGCACUUUGCUCUAUGAUCUAUCUCACUCCGAAAAGCAUCUGGACGGAUUUCCUUUCUCUCAUCGCAUUCGUUCUCAAAAUUUGGAUCUAGCUCGAAAAACUUAGGGUUUCCACUAGCUCUCAUCGCAUUCGUUCUCAAACUCGAAAAAGUUAGGGUUCCUAAAAAGGUAGGGUUGCAGAACGAUCAUCGGCAACAUGAGCAACAAAAUUUGGAAUCACAUAACCAUAAUUCGCAACAACAGCAGAAUUUGCAGCAACAUCAGCAAAAUUUGCAGCAGUUUCAACGUCAAUUGCAGGAAGUCCAAUUUUGUUGAAUUCAGGAAAUUUCUGAAUGAAUCGCAGAGUUUACUUGGUGGAUUUGCAUGCACAGCAUGGUAUUGAUGUAACCGAGAUUUCUGAGGAUAGUCAAGACGAUCUUGAGGGAUUGGAUGCUUCAGUAGCACAUAUUGCAAAUCUGUUGUGAACAGAACCUGCCGAUGG